rnacentral:rRNA from 1 species
UACGGAGGGGACUAGCGUUGUUCGGAAUUACUGGGCGUAAAGCGCACGUAGGCGGAUUGUUUAGUCAGGGGUGAAAUCCCGAGGCUCAACCUCGGAACUGCCUUUGAUACUGGCAAUCUCGAGUCCGGAAGAGGUGAGUGGAAUUCCGAGUGUAGAGGUGAAAUUCGUAGAUAUUCGGAGGAACACCAGUGGCGAAGGCGGCUCACUGGUCCGGUACUGACGCUGAGGUGCGAAAGCGUGGGGAGCAAACAGGG